rnacentral:rRNA from 1 species
AUACGUAGGGUGCAAGCGUUAUCCGGAUUUAUUGGGCAUAAAGGGCACGCAGGCGGUGAUUUAAGUCAGAUGUUAAAUCCUUCAGCUCAACUGGAGUCAGCAUUUGAAACUGAAUCACUAGAGAUCAGGAGAGGGAAGUGGAACUCACGGUGUAGCGGUGAAAUGCGUAGAUAUCGUGAGGAACACCAGUGGCGAAGGCGACUUCCUGGACUGAAUCUGACGCUGAGGUGCGAAAGCGUGGGGAGCGAACGGGAUUAGAAACCCGAGUAGUCC